rnacentral:rRNA from 1 species
UACGUAGGACCCGAGCGUUGUCCGGAAUUACUGGGUGUAAAGGGUGCGCAGGCGGGCUUGUGCGUCAGAGGUUAAAUACCCCGGCUCAACCGGGGAAAUGCCUUUGAUACGGCAAGUCUUGAGUACUAGAGAGGAUGGUGGAAUUCCUGGUGUAGCGGUGAAAUGCGUAGAUAUCAGGAGGAACACCUGUGGCGAAGGCGGCCAUCUGGCUAGUAACUGACGCUCAGGCACGAAAGCGUGGGGAG